UACGGAAGGCAGCAGUGGGGAAUAUUGCACAAUGGGCGCAAGCCUGAUGCAGCCAUGCCGCGUGUAUGAAAAAGGCCUUCGGGUUGUAAAGUACUUUCAGUCGUGAAGAAGGUGUUAAGGUUAAUAACCUUAGCAAUUGACGUUAGCGACAGAAGAAGCACCGGCUAACUCCGUGCCAGCAGCCGCGGUAAUACGGAGGGUGCGAGCGUUAAUCGGAAUUACUGGGCGUAAAGGGCACGCAGGCGGUUAAUUAAGUUGGAUGUGAAAUCCCCGGGCUUAACCUGGGAAUGGCAUUCAAGACUGGUUAGCUAGAGUCUUGUAGAGGGGGUAGAAUUCCAUGUGUAGCGGUGAAAUGCGUAGAGAUGUGGAGGAAUACCGGUGGCGAAGGCGGCCCCCUGGACAAAGACUGACGCUCAUGUGCGAAAGCGUGGGGAGCAAACAGGGAUUAGAUACC
rnacentral:rRNA from 1 species